AGAAGAAGAAGAAGAAGAAGAAGAAGAAGAAGAAGAAGAAGAAGAAGAAGAAGGAGAGCGAUGCUGUGCUAUGGAGAGCGGCAUAUUGUUUGUAAGAUGAUUCUUCACUAGAGGUUACAUUGAAGUCAGGCAAUGACAGGAAGGAUGGCUGGGGAUUCCAAGAUCUGAUAAAAAAAGUUACAUGAAGAUACUUGGACUACUCAUGGGACCAAAGAGCUGUAAGCAGAAUAAUUUGGAGUACAGUUUUCAAAUGAAAGGACGUUGGUCACCUCAGCAAAUACAAUUACACCAGCUCCAGUCUGGAUCCUGUCUCUAUCAGAUGACCCUACACAAAAGGAAAGUUGACAUCAGCCAUCACAAGGACUUCAAAACUGUUUUUCAAAGUGGAGCUUGUUAAGAGAUGAUUGGGCCAGCCCAGUGUCAGUAUGGAAAAUGAACCAAUGGGCCGCUGUCCCUGCUUUAUGGGCCGGUUGUUGGCCAAUUUAAAAAAAAUCGGUUACACUUUAUUUUGAUAGUCCACUUUAGACAUUCUACUAACUAUAAAUAACUUUGCAACUACAUGUCAACUAACUUUCAAUAAUUUGCAACUAUACGUCAACUAACUGUCAUUAGAGUAUUAGUAGAUGGUAAGGGUUAGGGAAGAGGUUUGGGUUAGUGGAAUAAGUUGACAUGCACCUGCAAAGAUACUUCUAGACAGUUGAAAGUCUGUUGAGAUAUCAUCGCAAUAAAGUGUUAGUAGAUAUUAAGCAGACAGUUGACUAAUUCUCUAAAGAUUGGUAGUUGAUAAGUAGUUGCAACGUUACUUAUAGUUAGUUAAAUGUCUAAAGUGGACUAUCGAAAUAAAGUGUUACCAAAAAAUCAUAUUAUAUUCACCGGCCCCCAAGGAUGUCGGCCCACCGGGCAUUUGCCCGGUAUGCCAGAUUUACAGUCCAGCCCUGGUUUUAACUAUGUAUCCCCUACAGUACUGACUGAUGAGUCAAAUUUAUGUCUUUAUCUGUCUUUGGGCUCAAUCUGACCCCAUCUAGGUUAUGAGUACUUAUACCACGGGCCUGUUGAAUGCUUUAUUCUGAUUGCAGGGUUCCUACAGGUUUCUUCAAGUUAAAUUCAAGUCUUUUUAAGACCUUUUUAAGACCAUUUAUAUAAAAAAUUAAUACCCAUUUCACGUCCCUACCAGCAAAGAAAAACUAAAAUACUUAAACUUGUGUUCAUUUAUUUUUCCGAUGUGAAAUGGGUAAAAAGAUUAUAAGCCAAGCAAGUGUGAAAUUUUUUUUUCAGUAGGCCAUAGAAAGUUUG